UACAGAGGUCUCAAGCGUUUGUUCGGAUUCAUUGGGCGUAAAAGGGUGUGUAGGUGGCGCGCUAAGUCGGGUGUGAAAUUUCGGAGCUUAACUCCGAAACUGCAUUCGAUACUGGCGUGCUUGAGGACUGGAGAGGAGACUGGAAUUCAUGGUGUAGCAGUGAAAUGCGUAGAGAUCAUGAGGAAGACCAGUGGCGAAGGCGGGUCUCUGGACAGUUCCUGACACUGAGGCACGAAGGCCAGGGGAGCAAACGGG
rnacentral:rRNA from 1 species